rnacentral:lncRNA from 1 species
CUCUAUUAAGUUGGGAAUAUAACAGUCAAUGAAAAUAGAAAGGGUUCUUAUGCUCUGAAAGAUUACAUAUUAACAGAAAAGGCAUAGAUUAAUAAAAAUAUAACACCCACACAGAAAGGCACCAAGUUAUUGUAAACAUAGACACACAAGUAUAAAUAAAGGUAACUAUAUAUAUAAAAUUUAAAAGACAUUAUCAGUGUGAUGAUGGAAAAGUCCUCUCUUUUAUGACAAGUAUAUACUUAGUCUGGAGGAACGAGUAAUGAUUUUUAAAGAUGUGGUAUUUGAUUGUAAUUAUGUGAGGAGGUGUUAACCAACCUUAUGUGGCAAUCAUUUUGCAAUAUAUAUGUGUAUCAAAUAUCAUGUUGUGCAUUUAAAAUAUAUGCAAUAUUAGUCGAUUUUAACUCAGAAAGAUAUCUGAACAGCAUAGAGGAGUGUAGAGGCGAUAAACAGAAAGGCAUCAGGAGCAGUCAGUACAGAGGCAUAGCAGAGAGAGAAAGUGACCAAGAUAGCACAGAGGCCUGCGGCCCCAAGGGAAGCAUCGCAGAUGGCUGGCUGAGGCACACUUGCAUCAUUCAGAGCCUUUUCUUUCCCAUUACCUGUAAAACACUAGAAGAAUAAUGUAAAGCAAAUAAAAUUCUGGAUGGUUUCCCAUAGUGAUUUUAAAGUCGAUGACAUUCUAGGGUUAUUACCAUCUACCGUCUUAAGUACCUAAAACAAAUGAUAAUUAAAAAACACUGGUUUGCCAAGAAUAAUUUAGAAUAAGAUAAUCUGAAUUUUUAAAAAUUUUACCUUUCUGAGAUGAGGUCAGAAAUGCAUGUCCUCAAAUGAUUAAUGAAAACUAUAUUGAAUAGGUAAACAUUUUAUAAAAUGUAGCUAAAUAUUUUAAUUACUACAUCCAAAUUAAUAUUUUUGAGAGUUCUCUAUUGUGUGUUUGGUUCAAAUAGUCUUGUAGAAAUUAUUUUUAUUUUGUGUUUUGACUGUCUAAAGAAUGAAUUAUUAGGCUUUACAUUUGAGCUAUGAUAUAAUUGACUAAAUAGAAAUCUUUUAAAAUUUCUAUGGUAUCUUGCAAUGUCAUCAGAAAUGUAAAUAAAACAGAGAAGAAAAAUUGCUAUAGAAAUGUUUGGACUCUAAAGAGCUGUUUGCUUUUAUAUCUGAU